AACAAGAGGAACAAUCCACUUAGAGGACCACACAGAAUGCUCAAUAGAGACACCUUUUGCCCCGCCUGGAGCUGCAUCCUCUUCAGAAACCAUCUGCACAUAAAAGGAAUCACUCAAGAUAUGUCAUCGAUGGCUGUGGCUGCAUUCGGAGAGGACGUUGCUGAAGAAACAUCAAACUGCAUCACUUGCUUAUUCGCUGGACUGGCACAAUUCAACAGCAUUAUCCAGGGAUGCGGCUGAUGGGAUGUACGAUCACCAUUGGUGGUGGAGACAAGGCGUGGUCUUUAAAAGGACGCUGCCGGCAUUCAACGAGGAGCUUAUUGUUGGUUCGGAAGCGGCUGGGUUGAGAGCUCCUGGAUCCCUUCUCCGGCCGAUGAUCAAAUUUGCCACUUUCAAGUGUAGUGUAAAAGCUAUUGAUCAUGUUCUUUCCUUUUCAGCCUUGUGUACUAAGAACGUGGAGCAAAGGGGUGUCCUGCCGUUUUGUUUUGGCUAUCUUUUUUGGGUUCUGUUUUGUGUUAGGAAGUUAGGGAAGUAAAAUGUAUUUUACUUUUGUUAUUUGACGAGGUUAGUUAUUACUUUCUUUUCUUUCUAGAUUUGUUUUGUUUGUUAUUUUGGCCUCUGGGACACCCUGGAGAGAUGCUCUUUGUUUCACUUGUUGUUUUUAAAUAAAUCUAAUUACUUAUUCUGAUUAACAUCGUGUACCUGUUUGAUUAUUGACUGGAGUGAUUCGUACUUGGGAUUCCAUCACCACAACCCAGUCUUAGU